rnacentral:tRNA from 1 species
GGAUGUAGCGCAGCUUGGUAGCGCAUCUGCUUUGGGAGCAGAGGGUCGCAGGUUCGAAUCCUGUCAUCC